GAUGAACGCUGGCGGCGUGCCUAAUACAUGCAAGUCGAGCGAACGGACGAGAAGCUUGCUUCUCUGAUGUUAGCGGCGGGCGGGUGAGUAACACGUGGAUAACCUACCUAUAAGACUGGGAUAACUUCGGGAAACCGGAGCUAAUACCGGAUAAUAUUUUGAACCGCAUGGUUCAAAAGUGAAAGACGGUCUUGCUGUCACUUAUAGAUGGAUCCGCGCUGCAUUAGCUAGUUGGUAAGGUAACGGCUUACCAAGGCAACGAUGCAUAGCCGACCUGAGAGGGUGAUCGGCCACACUGGAACUGAGACGCGGUCCAGACUCCUACGGGAGGCAGCAGUAGGGAAUCUUCCGCAAUGGGCGAAAGCCUGACGGAGCAACGCCGCGUGAGUGAUGAAGGUCUUCGGAUCGUAAAACUCUGUUAUUAGGGAAGAACAUAUGUGUAAGUAACUGUGCACAUCUUGACGGUACCUAAUCAGAAAGCCACGGCUAACUACGUG
rnacentral:rRNA from 1 species